rnacentral:rRNA from 1 species
CCUACGGGAGGCAGCAGUAGGGAAUCUUCCACAAUGGGCGAAAGCCUGAUGGAGCAACGCCGCGUGGGUGAAGAAGGUCUUCGGAUCGUAAAACCCUGUUGUUAGAGACGUAAGUGCGUGAGAGUAACUGUUCACGUUUCGACGGUAUCUAACCAGAAAGCCACGGCUAACUACGUGCCAGCAGCCGCGGUAAUACGUAGGUGGCAAGCGUUAUCCGGAUUUAUUGGGCGUAAAGGGAACGCAGGCGGUCUUUUAAGUCUGAUGUGAAAGCCUUGGGCUUAACCGGAGUAGUGCAUUGGAAACUGGGAGACGUGAGUGCAGAAGAGGAGAGUGGAACUCCAUGUGUAGCGGUGAAAUGCGUAGAUAUAUGGAAGAACACCAGUGGCGAAAGCGGCUCUCUGGUCUGUAACUGACGCUGAGGUUCGAAAGCGUGGGUAGCAAACAGGAUUAGAUACCCGGGUAGUC